rnacentral:rRNA from 1 species
CCUACGGGAGGCAGCAGUGAGGAAUAUUGGUCAAUGGACGCAAGUCUGAACCAGCCAUGCCGCGUGCAGGAAGACGGCUCUAUGAGUUGUAAACCGCUUUUGUACGAGGGUAAACGCAGAUACGCGUACCGGUCUGAAAGUAUCGUACGAAUAAGGAUCGGCUAACUCCGUGCCAGCAGCCGCGGGAAUACGGAGGAUUCAAGCGUUAUCCGGAUUUAUUGGGUUUAAAGGGUGCGUAGGCCGUCGGAUAAGGUAGAGGUGAAAUCCCGAGGCUCAACUUCGGACUUGCCUUUGAUACGGGGCGGCUAGAGAGUAGCUGCGGUAGGCGGAAUGUGUGGUGUAGCGGGGAAAUGCUUAGAGAUCAUACAGAACCCCGAUUGCGAAGGCAGCUUACCGAGCUACUUCUGACGUUGAGGCACGAAAGCGUGGGGAGCGAACAGGAUUAGAUACCCCUGUAGUC